AGAUGUGAGGGUGAUCUGGCUGCAACAACUGUCACCCCAUUGAUAGCCAGGGUUGAUUUGGCUGAUCUGUCUUGACAGACGAUUGUCCCCUUCCUCCCUUACCAUUCCAUGCACGUCCCUCCCAAAGCUGUGCUCUUGUCAACAAGGAUGACCAUCCCUGAUAGAGGAGGACUGGUCUUUGGUCAAGGGUAUACAAGUAGCUGUUCUCCCCUGCUAGAAGCUCCAAACAAGCUCUUAAGGUCCAUUCGAAGGAGAAAGUAGGAUAGUCAAGCUUCCAAAACUCCAGACAUAUCCAAAUGAGGGGCUGCAUGUGGCAGUCUGCCUUUCUAA
rnacentral:snRNA from 1 species